CCUACGGGUGGCUGCAGUGGGGAAUAUUGCACAAUGGGCGCAAGCCUGAUGCAGCCAUGCCGCGUGUGCGAAGAAGGCCUUCGGGUUGUAAAGCACUUUCAGCGGGGAGGAAGGCGGUGAGGUUAAUAACCUCAUCGAUUGACGUUACCCGCAGAAGAAGCACCGGCUAACUCCGUGCCAGCAGCCGCGGUAAUACGGAGGGUGCAAGCGUUAAUCGGAAUUACUGGGCGUAAAGCGCACGCAGGCGGUCUGUCAAGUCGGAUGUGAAAUCCCCGGGCUCAACCUGGGAACUGCAUUCGAAACUGGCAGGCUAGAGUCUUGUAGAGGGGGGUAGAAUUCCAGGUGUAGCGGUGAAAUGCGUAGAGAUCUGGAGGAAUACCGGUGGCGAAGGCGGCCCCCUGGACAAAGACUGACGCUCAGGUGCGAAAGCGUGGGGAGCAAACAGGAUUAGAUACCCCAGUAGUC
rnacentral:rRNA from 1 species